rnacentral:rRNA from 1 species
UACAGAGGGUGCGAGCGUUAAUCGGAAUUACUGGGCGUAAAGCGUGCGUAGACGGCUAUCUAAGUCGGGUGUGAAAGCCCCGGGCUCAACCUGGGAAUUGCAUUCGAGACUGAAUAGCUAGGGUACGGUAGAGGGAAGCGGAAUUCCCGGUGUAGUGGUGAAAUGCGUAGAUAUCGGGAGGAACACCAGUGGCGAAGGCGACUUCCUGGCCUGUUCUUGACGCUGAGGCGCGAAAGCUAGGGGAGCAAACGGGG